UACAGAGGGUGCGAGCGUUAAUCGGAAUUACUGGGCGUAAAGCGUGCGUAGACGGCUAUCUAGUCGGGUGUGAAAGCCCCGGGCUCAACCUGGGAAUUGCAUUCGAGACUGAAUAGCUAGGGUGCGGUAGAGGGAAGCGGAAUUUCCGGUGUAGCGGUGAAAUGCGUAGAUAUCUGGAGGAACACCGGUGGCGAAGGCGGCAUCCUGGACCGGCAUUGACGCUGAGGCGCGAAAGCCAGGGGAGCAAACGGG
rnacentral:rRNA from 1 species